GUGUAGAAUGGCGAUCUGCUUGCAACAUCUGUCAUCCAUCUUGUCUGGCUACAACAUCUGCCACCCUGGGGAAGCCCCGGUUGAUUGGCCAGUCUGCUCCUUUCCUCCUUUACUGCAUCCCUCCCCAAGCUGAGCCCUUGAUGAUCUUGUCUGGUAGAGGAGGACUGUCCUUUGGUCAAGGUGUAUGAGUAACUGCCCUCCCCUGCUGCAGCUUCUAAAUAAAUUCCUUUAGGAUAGAGGUGGGUAAACGAUUAGGAAGAGUUGCUCUUCACUG
ensembl:misc_RNA Gm23743 predicted gene, 23743